UACGAAGGGUGCAAGCGUUACUCGGAAUUACUGGGCGUAAAGCGUGCGUAGGUGGUUUGUUAAGUCUGAUGUGAAAGCCCUGGGCUCAACCUGGGAAUGGCAAUGGAUACUGGCAGGCUAGAGUGCGGUAGAGGGUAGUGGAAUUCCCGGUGUAGCGGUGAAAUGCGUAGAGAUCGGGAGGAACACCAGUGGCGAAGGCGGCUACCUGGACCAGCACUGACACUGAGGCACGAAAGCGUGGGGAGCAAACAGG
rnacentral:rRNA from 1 species